AUCUUAAGAAAUUUGUGAGAGUGUAUGCAGUUAUCUCCCCUCGGAAGGGAGGUGUUUGUAUUUCAAGGUCAAAGUCCAACUGCAAGAUGGCGACUAGCCUUGUCUGUUUGACAGACAGUCGAAGUAGUUGUGAGUGGAAACAGGCUGUUGACUGGGAAACACUGACCGAAAAACCUAUCUAGUUUUGCCAAACUGUAGCUGAAAGUUCAAAGGAAAUCAUUGUGACGGAUUUAAAGAAAGAAAAGAGGCCGAUCAUUGAGAAGAGAGGCCUAGAAAAGUUGACGUGUCACCGGAGAAUGCUAACAGAAGGAAAAGCCUCCUCCUCUCACUUUCUCUCGCCUCUCAACAACAACAUUUAGCGCUAAACAAUCCGUUGAUCAUAGAAUACUACUUGCUAUUGGUCCUUCUUCCCUUCAUUACAAUACUUGUCUAUCUUCCCAAUUAUCUGAUAUUUCUAUGUAUAAUCUAUGUAAUUAUCUCUCUAUAAAUAGAUAUUUAUUAGGAAUCAAACUUUACUGACAGUUAUAUACAUAUCUGUUUAUCAUUCCUAUAUAUAUAAACACAUACAAUAUUUUUAUCUCUCUGUGGACAUCUUCAGACUUCAUACAAACAGUCUGUCAAUAUGAUGUGUGAGUAUAAAUAUAAUAUAUACACACACGCGCGCAUAUAACUUAUCUUCUCUUCCGAUAACGAACUGUUAAAUCAGUGAUCGGUCAGUAUCGCAGAACAGGGUCGAACCUACACACACCCACCUUAAUCAGACCGGUGAUAAAACUAUUGCUUAUAUCUCUCCAUGACCACCACCGCCACCAUCAUCAUUACUCGGUCACUCGUUCUUUUCUUCCUCGUGUCCAUGGAAGCAAACACCGCUUCUCUCUAUUGUCCGUCACUGACCAAAAGGCGAAGUUGUCUCUGUCACACGACACAUUCCCACCCAUCACUAGGUUGAUCUCAUGAUGACAAUGUCUAUCAUCUACACUGCUUCAAAUAACACAACCACUGAUAUAUCAACACUCCAACCACAACAAAUACAGGCAACACCACCACCACCACCACCACCACCGUCACCGAGAACUCGCUAAAUAUUUAACCAGAUAGUAACCACUACAAAAAGGCAAAACAUACGACCAUCGCUAUUGUGGAAAACUCUUCCUUUACUACUACAAUCAACCUAACAUUAAACUUAUCCAUACCACCAGUAUUUCCCAAGCAUACGUCUUCAGACCUCCAAAAACAAAAAGAAAAAAAAAACGAAAAAACCCCCAAAAACCCUACUGAAUUCCCCAUCUCACAACCGCUGCUGCCAUCCCUGACCACUACUUUGGUAUUCAGUGGUCAUCUCGCCAUCCUAACUUGACCGGUGUGGAGGAGAAGAAAAAAAUAGAAAUAUAAAGAUUAUUGCGAGGUGCUCGGAAAGACGAUAAAGAAGGAAGUUACUCACACCGCCAACAUCUCCCCGAACCUGUAGGUGUGAUUAGUGCGACACACAGACAGACAUAGGUGUGUAUGUAUACACAACUAGAUAUUUCUCUAUAUACAGUUGUCUAUGGAUCUAUAACAUCUCAUGUGGAACUUGGUUUAAAAAGUUCCAAUGGAUUGUACAAAUGACUUCCAAAACGGCCUUCAAGAAAACGUAAACUGUGGUCUCCGGCACUUCUUUCACAGAAAUUGCAGAGAUUAUGUCAUUGAACCAGAAGGAACUACUAGAAACCAAUACAAUUAAUUAAAAAAAAAAAAAAAGAAAAAAAAGAGGAUUAAAA